rnacentral:rRNA from 1 species
UUUAGAGUUUGAUCCUGGCUCAGAUUGAACGCUGGCGGCAGGCCUAACACAUGCAAGUCGAGCGGUAACAGAUCUAGCUUGCUAGAUGCUGACGAGCGGCGGACGGGUGAGUAAUGCAUAGGAAUCUGCCCGGUAGUGGGGGAUAACCUGGGGAAACCCAGGCUAAUACCGCAUACGUCCUACGGGAGAAAGGGGGCUCCGGCUCCCGCUAUUGGAUGAGCCUAUGUCGGAUUAGCUAGUUGGUGAGGUAAUGGCUCACCAAGGCGACGAUCCGUAGCUGGUCUGAGAGGAUGAUCAGCCACAUCGGGACUGAGACACGGCCCGAACUCCUACGGGAGGCAGCAGUGGGGAAUAUUGGACAAUGGGGGGAACCCUGAUCCAGCCAUGCCGCGUGUGUGAAGAAGGCCUUCGGGUUGUAAAGCACUUUCAGCGAGGAAGAACGCCUAGUGGUUAAUACCCAUUAGGAAAGACAUCACUCGCAGAAGAGCACCGCA